rnacentral:rRNA from 1 species
GCUUUUUUUUCGAUAAUCUAUUUUUACUGUGAACUGUUUUAUUUCACGGCGCUUGAGGAAUGACCGGGUAGCCAUAAUGGACAGGCUGCUUGGGAUGUUUAACCGAGUCGUGGUCAGGCUUAGGCCUGGUGUCCUAAAAUUAAUUAUUUACCAAAAAGAAUUCAGUAUAAAAAAUAUUGUAACAUGGGCGUAAAAAACCUAUAAAAACAACUUUUAACAACGGAUCUCUUGGUUCUCGCAUCGAUGAAGAACGUAGCAAAGUGCGAUAACUAGUGUGAAUUGCAUAUUCAGUGAAUCAUCGAGUCUUUGAACGCAUCUUGCACUCACUGGUAUUCCAGUGAGUACGCCUGUUUCAGUAUCAAAAACACCCCACACUCAAAAUUCAGUUUUGAGUGGAACUGAGAGUUCACGGCCUUUAGCUGUACUCUUUAAAUAAAUUAGGCCUGAAAAUUGUAUUGUCUUUGCCUGAACAUUUUUUUAAUAUAAAGGAAUGCUCUUGCCAACAAUCUUCUCUGGGGCCUCCCAAAUAAAUCUUUGUCUUAAACUUGAUCUGAAAUCAGGCGGGAUUACCCGCUGAACUUAAGCAUAUCAAUAAGCGGAGGA